rnacentral:tRNA from 1 species
UGGCUCAGCGAUAGAGCGCUUGCCUUGCAUGCAGGAGGCUUUGGGUUCAAUUCCUCA